CCCUUAGAUGUUCUGGGCCGCACGCGCGCUACACUGAUUCAUGCAACAAGUUUUGUCCUUGGCUGAUAGGCCUGGGUAAUCUUUGAACGUGAAUCGUGAUGUGGAUAGAUGAUUGCAAUUAUUCAUCUUCAACGAGGAAUUCCUAGUAAACGCAAGUCAUCAGCUUGCAUUGAUUACGUCCCUGCCCUUUGUACACACCGCCCGUCGCACCUACCGAUUGAAUGGUCCGGUGAAAUCUUCGGAUCUGAGAGAUGUCUGAUUAAUUUCGGACGCCUUUUGGAAAAGUUGUUUAAACCUUACCAUUUAGAGGAAGGUGAAGUCGUANCA
rnacentral:rRNA from 1 species